rnacentral:rRNA from 1 species
UACGUAGGGUGCGAGCGUUGUCCGGAAUUAUUGGGCGUAAAGGGCUCGUAGGCGGUCUGUUGCGUCGGUAGUGAAAACUCAGGGCUUAACCCUGAGCCUGCUUCCGAUACGGGCAGACUAGAGGUAUGCAGGGGGAGAACGGAAUUCCUGGUGUAGCGGUGAAAUGCGCAGAUAUCAGGAGGAACACCGGUGGCGAAGGCGGUUCUCUGGGCAUUACCUGACGCUGAGGAGCGAAAGUGUGGGGAGCGAACAGG